UUACUUACCUGGCAGAGGAGAUACCGUAAUCACAAAGGUGGUUUUCCCAGGGCGAGGGUUUUUCAUUGCACUCUGCACACACUGAGCCCUGCGAUUUCCCCAAAUGUGGGAAACUCAACUAUAUAAUUUGUGGUGGGGGACUGUUCACGCUCUACUCUUA